rnacentral:misc_RNA from 1 species
GAUGAAGAACGUAGCGAAAUGCGAUAAGUAAUGUGAAUUGCAGAAUUCAGUGAAUCAUCGAAUCUUUGAACGCACCUUGCGCUCCUUGGUAUUCCGAGGAGCAUGCCUGUUUGACUGUCAUGAAAUUCUCAACCUUUUCAGCUUUCUUUGUUGAUCAGGCUUGGAUGUGGGAGUAUGCGGGCUUCUCAGAAGUCGGCUCUCCUGAAAUGCAUUAGCGGGACCUUUGUUGCCUGGCUUUGGUGUGAUAAUUAUCUACGCCAUUGUAGUCAAGCAGCUUAAAAUGAGGUUUCAGCUUCUAACCGUCUCCCCUGAGACAACUUUUUGACAAUUUGACCUCAAAUCAGGUAGGACUACCCGCUGAACUUAAGCAUAUCAAUAAGCGGAGGA